AACGCUGGCGGCGUGCUUACACAUGCAAGUCGAGUGCGCGGUAGCAAUACUGGCGCACGGCGCACGGGUGCGUAACACGUGGGCAACCUGCCCUCCAAUGGGGGAUACCCCCGCGAAAGCGGGACUAAUACCGCAUGACAUUCCCGGGACAUCUGUUCUGGGACUCAAAGGUCGCAAGAUCGUUGGAGGAGGGGCUCGCGCCCGAUUAGCUUGUUGGCGAGGUAACGGCUCACCAAGGCAAUGAUCGGUAGCUGGUCUGAGAGGAUGGCCAGCCACACUGGAACUGAGACACGGUCCAGACUCCUACGGGAGGCAGCAGUGGGGAAUCUUGCGCAAUGGGCGAAAGCCUGACGCAUCGACGCCGCGUGGGGGAUGAAGCUUCUCGGAGUGUAAACCCCUUUCGACCCGGACGAAACGCCCGCAAGGGUUUGACGGUACGGGUAUAAGAAGCCCCGGCUAACUACGUGCCAGCAGCCGCGGUAAGACGUANGGGGCCAGCGUUGCUCGGAAUUACUGGGCGUAAAGGGU
rnacentral:rRNA from 1 species